rnacentral:tRNA from 1 species
GCCGAAGUGGCGGAAUUGGUAGACGCACCGGACUCAAAAUCCGGCGGUGGCAACACCAUCCCGGUUCGACCCCGGGCUUCGGCACCA